rnacentral:rRNA from 1 species
GGCUUUCUGGAUAAUAUGGGGGGUCGUGCCUUCCCGGUGAGCUUUCGAGCUUAAACGGACGCGGUAAAUCGUGCUAAGGUAGCUAAAUUAUGGCCUAUUAAUUGUAGGUCCUGUGAAUGGUUUGACGAGUCUUCAACUGUCUCUGAUUUGCUUUGGUGAAAUUGAAUUGGAAGUGCAAAUGCUUCCUUAGGUAAGAAAGACGAGAAGACCCCGUGAAGUUAGAAAUUUAAGCCAUGUACGUUAGUCCUCUAAGUUUAUUGGCUUAGGUUUAUGAGAGUUUGGGGGUUGGUUUAUCUGGCUCCCGGGCUGUUAUUAGUGGAGGGGCAUGGUGGUAGUUUUGGCUGGGGCAGCAAAGGAGCAAAGCUAGACUCCUAUUUGAUUUUAAGCAGUUGUGCUACGACCCACAGAGCUUUUUUGUGUGAUUAGCAGAAGGAGUUACUCCGGGGAUAACAGCGUUAUUCGUCUUGACAGUUCUUAUAGAUGGGCGGGUUUGCGACCUCGAUGUUGGCUCUGGAUAUCCUUAGGCUUGCAGGCGGUCUUUAGGGUUGGUUCGUUCGCCCAUGAAAAUCCA